AACGAACGCUGGCGGCAUGCCUAACACAUGCAAGUCGAACGAGACCUUCGGGUCUAGUGGCGCACGGGUGCGUAACACGUGGGAAUUUGCCUCGGGGUAUGGAAUAACUCAGGGAGACUUGAGCUAAUACCAUAUAAUGUCUUCGGACCAAAGAUUUAUCGCCCUGAGAUAAGCCCGCGUAGGAUUAGCUAGUUGUGGGGUAAAGGCUCACCAAGGCGACGAUCCUUAGCUGGUCUGAGAGGAUGAUCAGCCACACUGGGACUCGAGACACGGCCCAGACUCCUACGGGAGGCAGCAGUGGGGGAAUAAUUGGGAC
rnacentral:rRNA from 1 species